rnacentral:lncRNA from 1 species
AUAUUAUUAUAUUAUUAUAAUAUAUUAAAAAUGUUGGACAAUCCCAAACUCCAACCAAUCAAUAAUUAAUCUUUUGUCUAACUAGCAUAAAGCUAGAGUAUGAGGUGUGCUGGGCAUAUGAAGAGGUACUCAGAUCAUCCACCGAUGGCACAGUCUGAAGUCAUCUAUCCUCUGAGAUAACUCGUAUAGUAUCAACAAGGCCAUCCAU